GUGCUCGUGUUGGCAGCACAUAUACUAAAAUUGGAACGAUACAGAGAAGAUUAGCGUGGCCCCUGCACAAGGAGGACACACAAAUUCCUGACGCUUUCCAGAUUUAA
ensembl:snRNA U6 U6 spliceosomal RNA